ensembl:lncRNA
CAGCUUCCCCUGCUAUAUAUUCUCACCAUAACAGGCUGCCUCACCACAGACAGCGCGGGCAACUGACCAUGGAUGAAAGCCUCCAAAAUAUGCCCUAAACCCUGUCCUCAGGGAGGCAGGCUUGAGGUCACUUCCAUGCACAGCCACUUUGUGAAUCAUCACAUUUUCUGCAAACCUGCUGUUGCAGCGAUGAGCACAUUGAGUGCCAGGCAAGCAGGACCUGCCUUGGUAACAGAUGGGAAAUCAGUAUUCCCAGAGCCUGGCAGAGGGCUGCACAGCGAGCAAGGUGCAGGCAAAUGCACUGCACACCCUGACAGAGGCCCCAGAACAGGACUUCCUGGAUAGGAAGAGCAGGUCCACCUCUUCUGUCCUUGACUCCUCACUGGAGCUCAACCCCCAGGUGGAUUCCCUGGGUGAGUUUCUCCUGGACCAGCUGGAGCCUCCUGAACCCCCUGAGGCAGAGCCCCAGGAGGACUGUGUGCCAGCUCCAGCCUCCGAUGAAGUCCCACCUGCUGACCUCCUGCCCACUCCACCUGCAGCUCCCUCACCAGCUCUGGCCCCACAACGAGAGCCAACACCUGGAACCUCUUCACCAGCUGCAGAGCUGGAACUCCUGGUGGCUCAACAGCAGAUCUCAUCUCUUGAACUCUACAGGGAGGUCUACAGAGCUCUUGACCCACACCCGCCAUUCCCCUCUCUUACUGAUUUACUUAUUAUUGUAUUUAUUGCUACCCUUAUUUCUCAGAGAUAAGUCAAUGAUAGAAUUAAUGUAAAUAAAAUUUAAGAUUUUUGUCUUGUUUAAAAUGAUCAGCUCACUGCAUUCUCAGUCAUUUGCAAUGUUGUGCAACCUUCACCACUGUCCCAUUCUACAAC